rfam:Lepisosteus oculatus linkage group LG6, whole genome shotgun sequence.
GCCAGCAGCCAUGUCACCUUGCAACUCCCAACUGGCUGCCCACUGAAGCUAAACAGGUGUGAGCCUGGCCAGUACCUGGAUGGGAGGUCUCCAGGGAAAAACUAAGGUUGCUGCUGGAC